GCAGCCUGAUGCAGCAACGCCGCGUGAGGGACGACGGCCUUCGGGUUGUAAACCUCUUUUAGUAGGGAAGAAGCGAAAGUGACGGUACCUGCAGAAAAAGCACCGGCUAACUACGUGCCAGCAGCCGCGGUAAUACGUAGGGUGCGAGCGUUGUCCGGAAUUAUUGGGCGUAAAGAGCUCGUAGGCGGUCUGUCGCGUCUGCUGUGAAAACCCGAGGCUCAACCUCGGGCCUGCAGUGGGUACGGGCAGACUAGAGUGCGGUAGGGGAGAAUGGAAUUCCUGGUGUAGCGGUGGAAUGCGCAGAUAUCAGGAGGAACACCGAUGGCGAAGGCAGUUCUCUGGGCCGUAACUGACGCUGAGGAGCGAAAGCGUGGGGAGCGAACAGGAUUAGAUACCCUGGUAGUCCACGCCGUAAACGUUGGGCGCUAGAUGUGGGGACCAUUCCACGGUUUCCGUGUCGCAGCUAACGCAUUAAGCGCCCCGCCUGGGGAGUACGGCCGCAAGGCUAAAACUCAAAGGAAUUGACGGGGGCCCGCACAAGCGGCGGAGCAUGCGGAUUAAUUCGAUGCAACGCGAAGAACCUUACCAAGGCUUGACAUAUACGAGAACGGGCCAGAAAUGGUCAACUCUUUGGAC
rnacentral:rRNA from 1 species